rnacentral:snRNA from 1 species
AAACGCGACUCACCGAGUCGCUUGUAUAUUAAACUGAUUUUUGAACCUAGGCCAUGGAAUAGGGGCUUGCUCCGUCCUGGCCACGGGUUGGCCCGGUAUUGCAGUACUUCCGGGAUCGGCCCACCCCUC